AAUUUAUUUUUCAGAUAAUACGAGGAACGGACUGGAAAUACAUUCAGAAGGAAAACACAGUAAUUAAUUUGUCACUGAAACCUGAGGGGUCCGGCUCCACUUAUAGGUGAUAAUGAAUGUUUUGCAUGUAAUUAGCAAGAAUAAUUAGCACAUUCCUGGUAACAAAUGGACUGACUGGUACUCUGCAAACAAAAUUAAUUGUUGUGCUAACAGAGGCAAUUGUGUCUCUUUAUUGUCUGACAAUGUCCCUUAUAUGCACUAAUACCUACUUUAGAACUCAGCGGCUUUGUGCAGAUAGGAAGGGGAAUCUAUAAAAUUGUACCCCUUCCAUCUGCUUCUCAGAAAUUUCAAGACCACCAGGGGACUUGUUUGUCAAAACUUGUUAAACAAUUUGUAAUCUUUAACAUGUGUUUUACUGUAUUAACGGAUGAACUGUUCAAAUCAACUUACUGGUUAAGCCAGGAAAGCUACUCUAAUCAAUCAA
rnacentral:lncRNA from 1 species